rnacentral:lncRNA from 1 species
CAAUGCAUUGGAAAUGCAAACCAGGAAAUCCUGCCAAAACUCUUGACGAGAUAGAUGGUGGGGAGGGGGCAGUCAUUGAUACUGAACUUGGCCCAGAGGGAUAAAAAAGUGUCCUCUCUCACUGAGAAAAAGGAGAUAUUUCCCAUCCCCUGUACCAGGAAUGAAUCUAUGAUGUCUGAUUUUCCCCUGUACAAUGGAAAUAGAGGGAAAAGCAGAAAAAGCACAUUAAUAUUUGCUGAUCAUUAGCCAUAGUCCAGCAAUAUACUCAGUGACAUACAAUAUUAUGUCAUUUAAUCCCUAGCGACGCCCUGUGGGGUGCAUCAUAUCAAAAUGUUCCCAUUUUGCUAAGAAGAAAAAUUAGGCAAAGAGAGGUUGUUCAAGGUCAUUAUGCUUAUAAAUUGACAGACCUGGGAUACACAACGGGGGCGGUCCAGCUCCAAAGGCCAGAUUCCAGCCACCUGCCUCAUCAGCAGAAUGGUAUCCCUUUCCUCUCUACCUUCGCAGUGCGUUGCAGCAGACAAGUCCUUAGGUAGGAGUUAGUUUUCAGCCUCCCUAUCAUCAAAAGGGUCAGUUUUUCUAGUUUUGCUCCUUAAUCAUGAAGAAGAAAUUUGGAAGAAACAAAACAGUUCUGAAAUGAAUUCUGAGGCUGAAGAGGCUUCUAUUUCUGGAGUCAGCAUCUCUAAACCCAAAUCUGAAGGUGAAGGUGAUGGGUCCUUCUCCAACCAUCCACCCCACCCAUCUACAGACAACUAUUUCAUAUCUGCUAUGUGACGGACCUCAUUCUAAGUAAGGGGCGAAUGUUCCUUUCUCCUCUUUGGAACCUUCCUAAAAAGCAGAAGUAUCAGACAAAGGCACACUCCAUAGUAUAAUGGAACAUAAAGUGGUGACAUGAAUAAUGGGAGGUUAUACAAGAGCUGUUUGAGCCACAAAGAAGAAAGGAUACAAACACACACACACACACAGUCUGGGGAAUAUAAGGGGAGGUUCCUCCAGAGUAAUGUCAGAUUGGAGCCAAGAAGAUGACGUAGAGUUGGCCAGGCGGAAGAAGAGGUCAGUGGAAGUAGCAUGCAGAAGGAAAGAUGUGGCUUAGGAGAGCUAUCACUGGGUGUUCUUUGGGUGGGGCUGUGCACAGAGGCAGGAGAGGAAGGCAGUGGGUGCGUCAGGGAGGCCUCGUGGAAAUUUCUAUGAGUCUUAACUAUUCUAUUGGUGAUGAGGAGGCACUGAGGAAUCUAGUUUAAAGCAUGACCAGAUUAUGUUUAUAUUUUAGGAAGUUCUUGCUAAUACAUGGUAGAUGAGAGAUUCAGAAAAGAGCUAAGUAGCUCAGCCUUUUAGGUGAUAUUUAUUUAUACUUAUAUCUUGUUUGAUUUUAUAUAUUAUUUGCACUUAUAUAUAAUUACUUGCAUUUAUUUAUCUUCAUUUAUUUACUUAUUUGUUCCUGCAUUUGUUAAAUGUUCAUGGAAUGCCUAAUAUGUGUCAGAUACUGAGCUAGACUCAAGGGCUAUAAAGGUGAGCGAAACCAGGUGUGAUUCCUGCCAACACAGAAUACUGAAUCUAGAAGAGAAGCCAGAAAUAAUUUAAAUAAGCAUAGAAAUAACGUUACAGCUGUCACAAGAACUCCAGAGGGGAGUAUAUGGUGCCACAAGAGCCUUGAGGAAGUGAUUUGUCCUUUUCAACCUCCACAAGCAAGGGACGCAUGUCCUGCUUUUGCAGGAUCAGUGGCGGUGAGCCGAGAGUCAUGAGAAGGGAAGAGUGUUUCAGACAGGUUGACAAUAUGAGAAAACACUGUCAGGAUAGGAGUGCGGAAGGGACAGGGGUGGCUGGAACAAAGGAGGUGAAGGAAUCAGGAUGUGACCUGAGGCUGGAGGUCAGGGGCACGUUGCCUUGAUCAGUGAAUUGUGAGCCAACAUGAUGCACUUGCCUGUGAAGUGGGGCUGACUUUCCCUCUUGCCCCUCUGCCAUGGCCAGGAGAACAAGCCCACCACAGAAAGAUGAGCCAUGCAUAGCAAAGCCAAAUCAUCCCACCCAUCACAGCAAAGGCCAUCCUAUCCUAGACAACAACCAGAUGAGCCCAACAUGUGAGUAAGACCAGCUGAGACCAAAGGAGCCACCAGCCAAACACAGCCUUAAAUUGCCAAUAUUUGUUCUUCUGUGAAAUAAAUGCUUAUCAUCGAAGCUCCUGAGUUCCUAUAGUUCAACGUGUGCAUGUGGAGUGGGAGAUGGAGAAGCAGUGAGGAGUCAAGGAUCAUUUUAGAUCCCUAAUUUGUGUACCUGGACAAACACUGGAGCCAUGCUGUGAACUAGGCUAAGAUUUAAGGAGUCAUGGAAAAAGCAUUUCAGUCAUGACUAGGAAAACCAGAAGGGUGCUUUGCCCUAAGGAUGGAAUUGCAUCCUGAGGCAUCAAUUCAGCCAAUUUGGAUUGUACACAAUUCUUAGAUCAUUCUUUGCUCUUGAGUUUAAUUGACUUGGGUUCAAAUUCUAACCCUCAUUUUUUUUUAUGUGACUAUGGUGAGUUAAUUAACUUUCCUGAAUUUAAGCUGGAAAUAAAAGCAAUCAUUUGGAUUUGCAAAGUUUUGUGAGGAUCACCCAAGCGGCAGUUAAAGUGUGAACCACAUUACUUGGCCUUUGUUUCAUACCUGAAGCAUAUUUGCUAUUAGAAUAUAAUUAUACUAAUCUGUGUUCAGGCUGGUCUCCAUCUGCCAGAAUACUUUCCUUGCUACUCUAAGUCCUCUUUAUGCUUAAACUUCUCUCUAGAUUCACCCACAAGCUCUGCUCCGGAAGCCCUCCCAAAAGAUUUGGUUUUUCUUCGUUUUUAGCUGCACUUGCCUCAUAUGGCAGUUCCCAGGCUAGGGGAUCAAAUCGGAGCGGUAGUUGAGGUCUAGGCCACAGCCAUGGCAACACUGGAUUCAAGCCACAUCUGUGACCUAUGACACAACUUGCAUCAAUCCUUAAACCAAUGAGUGAGGCCAGGGAUUGAACCUGCAUCCUCACAAAUACUAUGUUGAGUUCUUAACCUGCUGAGCCAAAAUGGGAACUCCCCAAAGAGUCUAAUACUCCAUGGACUCUCGGUUUUCUGAGUCUCUGGAUUUCUGUAUUUUUGUAUAUACUCAUUCAUCCUAUAUUUAUCCAGCACCUAUCAUGUGCUGAUUGCCAAGAAGAAUAGCUAUAAGACACUGCUUUGCCAUACUCACAGGGGGCAAAUACCACCUGAUCUCAUUUUUUAAUUUAAAAGUGAGUAUUCAUUUCACCUUCUGGGUUACAAACUGCUCUGAUACAUAGGGUUUUACUUCCUGUCCACAAAAGCCCUGUUGAGAGGCAGGACACGUAUCGGUGGCCUUAUGUCCCCUUCGCAGAUGAUUGUCAGCAGGUUGGCCAUGCUCCCCACCCGCUUGUCACUUGGUAAGAAACUUUGCUUAUUAGAGUUUAUUAGAUCUUAUUUAUUUUGGAAUAUAUUUGCCUUCUUCAUUAGUAUGGUGGCUUUUGAGCUCAGGGGCUACAGGUUAUUUACUUUUGUAUCUCUAGUGUCCAGCUAAAUGCCUGACAAAGAAUAGGUACUUAAUAAAUAUUUGCUGUGUGAACUAGGGUCAGAGGGUUUAAGGGAUUUGCUCAAAUCCACAUGAAAAAUCAAAAGUAGACCCAGGGUAACAGUAGCUUUUCCUCCUCCCAAUUCAAGAGCCUCCUCCAUGACAACACGUUCUUUCCUAUGAAUUUCUGUGACUGGUUUUAGGAAGCAGAUGAAUGAUGUCUCAAAGAAAGGGUAAUGUGUUAAAAGCAUAAUAUGCGUUCAUUAGAAAACUGUUAAGGAAGAAAAGAAAGUGGAGGCCGAAGACAUAAUAUUUCUUGGGCAUCUACUAUUUACAUGAAA